GUGACAGCGUUUGGAAGGGUAGAGGGGUGACAGCGUUUGGAAGGGUAGAGGGGUGACAGCGUUUGGAAGGGUAGAGUGGUGACAGCGUUUGGAAGGGGAGAGACGUGACAGCGUUUGGGAGGGGAGAGGGGUGACAGGGUUUGGGAGGGUAGAGGGGUG